GACGAACGCUGGCGGCGGGCUUAACACAUGCAAGUCGAACGGAAAGGCCGUGCUUUGUUGCGGUGCUGGGGGGGCGAACGGGUGAGUAACACGUGUGUAACCGGCCCUUCACUUUGGGAGAACUUCAGGAAACUUGGGCUAAGACCGGAUAGGAUCUCCUGCGGCAGGGUGGGCGUGGGAUAGUUUCGGCGGUUGGGGAGGGACUCGCGGCUCAUCGGCUUGUUGGUUGGGUAGUGGCUGACCAAGGCUUUGACCGGUAGCCGACCUGAGAGGGUGACCGGCCCCAUUACGACUGAGCUACGGCACAGACUACAAUGGGAGGCAGCGGUGGAGAAUAUUGUACAGUGGGAGGAAGGCUGAUGUGACAAAGCCGCGUGCGGGAAGACAGCAUUCGGGUAGUGAACCGCAUCCGCCUCUGACGAAGCGUGAGUGACGGUAAUCGGUGAAGAAGCACCGGCUAACUACGUG
rnacentral:rRNA from 1 species